AUUGGUCACUCUCUGUACUGGCCAGUCAAAUCGUAUUUUCACGAUGUCCACGGAUGCGCGCGCAUUCUGACUGAUAUUAGACAAGAAGGACGAUCAGCCAUUGUUUACAAGCGUGGUGCAAAAUAAUAACAUAUGUGGCUUAUUAAGACGUUUUUAUAUCAAAAUGCCUCUCCGAAAGAAAUCCCGUUUGGGACGACCGAAAAAGAACAGCCAUCAGAAAAAAGAACCAAAGCAUAAAAUUGAAUGCCAAAGAGGAAAAGAUGUAGAAAUUAACAAAUGGAGUUAAAAAGAGAGUAAUCCUCGACAAUGAACAGCUGUUGGUACCAGUAUGGAGGAGACAU